CACGUGUAUUUUAUUUUUAUAGUUUAUAGGUAUUCUGAUAUCAAUAUAUUUUUGUAUAUUUCUUUAUUUUUAGUACAUAUUUAAGCGCUUAUAUACAUGUUUUAGAUUCUGAGUGAAGCGAGAAAUGUAUUUGUAUUACAAUGAUGUUAAUAAUUUUUUUUCUACCAACAAUUUUGCUCCCAUUUUCAAUGAUAGCACAUUUUUUAGAGAAAAUCUAACUGGUGUGGUACUUUAAUGAGACCAUUUUUAAAUUUCCCCUGCUGUUUUUACAAUAGAUGGAAAAAACCAGGAAUAAACAUGGGAAAAAUCGGAAAAAAACAUGGGAAAAAAAGGAAAAUAAGUACAAUAUUAAAUAAAUAUUAUUAAAGAAAAUAUAUAAUGAAAAUAUUAUGUAAUUAUUUUACCAUAAUAUGACAUACAUGUGAAACCCUUGAUAAAGCAACACUAUUAAUCGAACUCCGCUCAGAAUCGUUUUUCGUUAGUAAUGGAUAAUCGUUGCCUACAUUAAAUUUCCCCUCUACCUUCCUAACUUUUCAUCUACAACAAUGGUCCUCCCAUGAGUGAAGUAUGUUUAAGUGCAUAUUAUUUCGCUUGUGUAACAACCUUUUUUAGAGUUGCAAGUAACUUUUUAGAUUCCAGAUUAUAACCGUUUGUUUAUGUACUAUCUAAUUUCGUAGUCAUAUUUAAUAACACGUAUCGUUACUGGUUGUCGGUGUAUAGAUUUUGACAGACCCGCCUUUAAUCAUCUGCGACGAACCAACGUCGGGACUAGAUUCAUUUAUGGCACGAAAAGUAAUCAAUAUACUCCAGACGAUGGCUUUGAAGGGCAAAACGAUAAUUUGCACAAUCCAUCAGCCGUCAUCAGAAGUGUAUCACAUGUUUGAUAAAAUACUGCUGUUGGCCAACGGGCGGACCGCUUUUUUGGGCGCACCAAAUGAAGCCAUCGAAUUCUUCAAUAGGUGUAUAAUAUAUGUAUAAUAAUAAUAUUAAUAUUAUAUAAUAUUUAAUCAUUUUUAACGUGCAUACGUUCAAAUAAAUUGUAUUAUAAUAGAUCAAUGUAGUCUUGUACUCUUAUAGAAAUAUUUUAUUGUCUCUAUUACAUCAGUUAUCGAGAUUGAAAGUUGUCACUCCGCAUAAAUACACAUUUACAAUUAGGACUGUAAAAUUAGUUAUGUUUAUUCCACGACAGGCUCGGUGUAUGUUUUCCGAACAAUUAUAAUCCGGCGGAUUUUUUCGUUCAGCUCUUGGCCAUCGUACCAACACGAGAACUGAGUUCAUACGAAACAAUCAAUACGAUCUGCGAGGAAUACAAAAACUCACCGUACAACAAAUACUGUACGAUGAACCACCAAAAUAUGAAUUUGUAUCCAACCAAAGAGGUGUUUAUUUAUUAAUACAAUAUUAUAGUCUUUUCUUAGCGGUAAUUGCGACGGUUUUGUUUAUUAGCUCUCAGUGGAUUGCAGUCGUCGAUGUUCGAAUGGUCCCUAUAAUAUUUCGUCUCUGUACAACGCCUCGUGGACCGAACAAUUUUCAGCAGUCUUCUGGCGGUCGUGGCUGAACGUCAAAAAAGAACCGGCACUCAUCAAAAGCAGGAUUUUCGAAACGAUGGUAAGUCAGUUAUCAAACAUAUACAUAUUUAUUAUUGACUUAAACCUUUCCUGUGCACACAGAUAAAAGCCGCUCUGGUGAGUACAAUUUUCUAUAACGAACGUUUUGAUCAGGACGGCGUGAUCAUCAUUAACGGAGCUCUCUAUUUUUGUAUGAGCAUGAUGACCUACCCGAACAUAUUCAUCGUUAUCAACGUGAGUACCAUCUUAACAGGGACGGCACGAGGGGUAGGGGGCAAUCGGGGAGUUUACCCCGGGCCCCGCGAUUUUAAAAUUAUAAUUAAGGCCCCGCAGUUCUGAAAUGAUUUCUACUGUUCAAAGGUUUUACUAAAUUUCCAAAAUUUUAUUUAUUGAAAAUAUAAUUCGUAAUAAAUUAUUUUAUAUAAAACAAUUUUUAUUGUUGAAAAUAAUUCUUUAUACUGUGAAUCGAAUGCGGAAUAGUUAUUUUUAGACGUCAGUCGUGACGGCCUUAUCAGUGGAGGCGACUAAGUAUAGGGACUAGUACUAGUACUAAAAGUAUAAGGAAGUAUGAUGUACUAUUUUUAAUACUUUUAUAUACAUUUCGGUUUUAUACGAUAAUCAAUAUUAUACUAUAUAUUACACCACCAGCAUAGAGUAAAGACAAGUAUGACCACUAGUGUGCUGCGUGUGUCUGUGUGUGUUUUUGUCUUUCGAGCAUUUGAGUUGGUACGCUGGUUAUAUGAUUUUUCUUACAGUGUUAUUAAUGUGUAAUUGAAAGAUUAUUCACGAUUAUUAUUAUUUAUUCACAGAUAAUUUUUACCUUCAUAUAAUUAUUAUUUUACAUUUCCACGUAAUAUGACUAGUAGACUGUGAUAAGUUUCGAAAGUAUAAGAGUGGUAAUGACAAAACAAAAUUAAAACAAAAUUAAACAAAAAUGAGACAAAUUUUUAAAAUUGCAACAAGGAUCUUUUGAGCGAUUUCUUAAGAAUGAUAGAAAUAACAAGGUAUAACAGGAUAACUAUUUUACAUUCUAUACAGUACUUUUACUAUAUUCAGUUCAGAUAUAUGAUUUAAUUACAAUUUUUCUAUAAUUAAUUUUUUAAUUUUUGUUUAUUUAAUAAAUUGUAUACCAUUAUCAUCUAUACCAGUAAAAUUAUAUUAUAUUUUAUUUAUAUUUCAACGUUUAUAAACAUUGAUAUCAUGAAGUUGUGAAUUUAUUGGUCAAUUUCAGAUAGAUAGUAAAUGAAGAAACCACUCUUCUUGAAGCUAUGUUAAUGGCAAAAUAUUCUUUAGAAUGUUUUCCAAAUAUUAGUUUUUCUCUGAGAAUUUUACUGAAAAUACCAGUAACUUUGGUAUGUGCCGAGAGAAGCUUUUCGAAAUUGAAAUUAAUUAAAACAUAUUUGAGAAACAAAUUAAGUCGAGAAAACUUUUCUGGUCUUUCAAUAAUUUCAAUAGAAAAAAAUAUUUCUAAAUCUAGAUUAUAAUAAUAUCAUAAAUCAGUAUGCUGCUAAAAAAUCAAGAAAAGUAAUUUUUUUUAAAUAUUAUUUGUAUGACUGAUGUAAUCAAUAAUUUUUAUUGUUUGUUAAUAUUGUUUUUUCUGUUAUAUUAAUUACAUUUUUAAAUUUAUUAAAAUAUAAUGUAUGUGUAUAAAACGAUGGUUGAUAUUUGAUAAAAUUGGUUUAGUAAGUACCUAGUUCAUUUGGCUAUGUAAUUAAAUUUUCGAGCGGAGCGUGUACUUAUAGUAUUUAAAAGAUCACACAUAAACUGUUAUUUACUUUGCAGAGGGCCCCGCAAAUCCUAGCGCCGUCCCUGCACUUUAAACUUACAGUGAUUUUCUGAUUUUAGACCACUAAUCUUAUCUAAAAUUGUUAUCAUAUCACUCAGGAGUUUUGUUCAGAGCUACCAGUGUUUAUAGCCGACCACCGUAACGGAUUGUACCGAACGGAUGUGUACUUCUUGAGUAGGACUUUAGCCGAAGUACCGAUAUUCUUGAUGAUACCGAUACUGUUUACGUCUAUAGUUUACUACAUGAUUGGCUUGAACCCGAAAUUUGAACAUUUCCUUACAGCUAUGUUGUUCAUGACGCUCGUCACUCAGGUGGCCGUUUCGGUGGGUAAGGAAAUUUUAGCAUACCAAUUUAUAUACGGAUGUCUGCAUAUGAACCUAAUAAUAUUAUUCUGAACUCUGUUUAAUAAUGGCAAAAAAAUCCCACAAAUUUAUGGAAAAAACAUUUUAUUAUUUUUGAUUUUUUCAAUUUUGCUUUCCCACCAAACAUUAUCUUGCUCCGAAAUUUAAAUGUAGUAUCUUUCUUGAAAGAAAAUUUUAUCUAGUUGAUGCAAAGAAGGUCCAAACAUCGCCCAGAAUCGUAUUUCGUCAGUAAUGAUUUAUCAUUCCAUUAAAUACUCUAAAUAAAUACUACUGCAUACGGAUAUACAUUAAACAACUUUACGAGUAUGUAUCUUAAUACCUUUUUUUAUUUUUAAUAUUUUCAUUGAAGAUUAUACGUAACAUUCAGUAUUUAUUAUAAUUUUUUAUUUGGAUUUAAAAAUAUAAGAAACAUUUAGUACGCAAAUAAUUUUAAUUACUCACAAAUUUUUAUUUUUUAGCAAAUAAAAAUUAAUCUUCAACGAUAAAUAUAAUUUUAAAUAAUAGAACACAUAUUAUAAUAGGUUUCCCGCAGGUCUAUUUCUGUGAAUAUUUAUAGGUGUAAAGUAUAUGUCAACAUUUUAAUCAAUAUAACUAUAGGUAUCCACCAUUUACCUUACAGAUUUCGAGUAAUUUUAGAUUCGGAGCGUAUCAAGAGAUCUAUUAGUUUUAUUAUGUGUGUUAUUGUUUUAAGAUUCUGAGCAAAACAAGACUGAGUAUUGGCAAUGAUGUUUAUUAUUAUUAUUUUUUUAUCUGUGAAAAACUUUUCUUCCGCCAAUUUUGUUCCGAUUUGCAAUGAUAGCACUUCUUUUGAAAGCAAAUCUGGUUGGGGUAGUACUUUAAGGAGGUCUUUUUUUAAUUUUUCCAGCUGUUUUUAUAAUAAAUGGGAAAACCUGGAAAAAUGGGAAUAUAGGUAUAUUAUUAAACAAAUAUUAUCAAAGAAAAUAUAUAAUGCAUAUUUAAUUAUUUUACCGUAAUAUGACAUAUAUAUUAUUGACAAAACAAUACUAUAUUAACUGAACUUCAUUUAUUUGAAUCGUUUUUUCGUUAAAAACGGUUAAUCGUUGCUAACAGAUAUACAUUAAAUUACCUAUAACAGUGGCUGCACCGGUCCCUAUUAUCCUAGGACAGCAAUUUUCAAAUUACGGCGUUACGAUUUCAUUUUUUUUAUUAUUUUUUUUUAUUAUUACGGCUUAUGUUUUCUACCAUAAAUAUAGCUCCAAUAGAAAAACAUCAAGAGAUCUUUCUUAUUGAAUUUUUAAUCUUGUCGGUGACCAAAAUAGUCGUUUUUUGAUUUUCUUCGUAUUGAAUGGAAAUUGUAUAAAUUAUCUAAAUUAUCGCAUUUCUAAACAUGCUUAAUCGAACUUCAGAACGGUUUUUCAUUUGUAAUGGUUAAUCGUUGAUUACAGAUAUAAAUUAAACAACUUUAUGUAUCUCAACUUCCCCACUCCCCAUCUACAACAGUUGCCGCACUCGUCCCCGGUAUUGGCCCUUUUUUUUAGAUUAAUAAUGCCUUUUUAUUAUUACAGGUUAUUUUGUAUCAUGUGCUAGCAUAGAUAUAAAAGUGGCGUUUUUUGUGGGUAAAUGGUUCAUGGUACCAUUUCAAAUGUGUUCGGGAUUUUUUUUAAACGUCAGGUGAAUAAUAAUUUAAAAUAUAAUAUAAAUUAUAGGUACCAACAUUUUGUGCAAUUUCGAAUUAUUUAAGUAUAAUGCUCUUUUUAUAUUGCCUUAUGUACUUAUAUUGUAAUUAUAUACCUAAUUAAAUAAAUAGUAAUUUGUUUUUAAAGUUCAAUCCCGUAUUACUUUCGAUGGUUCAGUAUUUUUUCGUGGUGCAAGUAUACUUACGAAGGACUUCGUAUUAACCAAUGGUCGGACAUCAAGUCGAUCCAAUGCAACAAAAUCAAUAUGACUAUGUGUUUACGUUCGGGUCACGAUGUUUUAGAAUCGGAUGACAUAUUAGAGGUAAAACGACAAAAAUCAAUUAGUUGUAUCUAAAAUAUUCACUCAUAUUUGGUGAAAAUAUAUAUAUUAGACAUCUUUCAGAAAAUUAUGAAAAGUUAUUAGUUGUUUCUAUAGGUACCUAUAUAAUUAUAAAAUCUAUAUUUAUUUUGACUUUAUUAAAGAAUAAAAUAUAAUAGAAUUAAAAACCCCAUAGGCGUAAUUUCGAUAAAAUUCGGGUGAUGGGGGGGGGGGGUUUGAAAAACUGACAUUUACGUACCUAAGUAAUAAAAUAACUAAUAAAUAAAAAAAAAUCUAGAAGAAAUGUAUUUAAUAAUAAAUAGAUAUUAACAUAAACCCUAAGUAAAACCCAUAAUUAAAACUACUCACAAUAUGUGAUCAUUAGAGAACGGAUUUAUAUGCACUUAAAAUCCAUAAAAAGUGCUUAAAACCAUCAAAAAGGCCAAAAAAAAUAAUUUAAAAAUAUUUAAAAGAACAAUAAUGAUAGAGGGGUUUAAUAUUCCUUCAAUGUAGAACCAUUAAAGGUGGGACUAAAACCACUCUACCACUUUUACUUUUUUUAAUAUUUUGAAGUACUUUUUUAACGAUUUAAGCGCUUUUUUACUGUUUUUAAGUGCAUAUAAAGAUUAUUGAUAGCAUAGCAACAAUUUUCGCGACCACGUAGUAUCACCAUUAAUCAAUUUUGUGGUAAUUUCACUUAUACGAAAAAUGAUAAGAAACGUUUUAGAAAACCCGACCCGGUCGCAUAUUAACAAACUGCAUACGAAAUAAAAUACUACCCGACGUGGAUUUGCUUAACAAAUCAGGGUUUAUUUUCGAUUAGCGAGGAUACAAAAUUAUAGUAUUACACCCCACAAAAAUUCAAGGGGGUACAGGCGCACCUUUUGUGCCCCCAAGAUUAUGCCCAUGAAAAACCAUUUAGUCUCUUGAUCAAAUUUCUAUUAUUAUUUUUCAGGAGAACAUUACCACGGAUAUAAUUUCAUUACUUUUGUUAAUCAUUGGCUUUCGAUUUAUGGCGUUUCUAUCUCUCCUUAUCAAAACGUCGAGGAAGUAAAUUAUUCAAUGAAUUAAUAAAAUAUAAUGUGUGUUUAAUUAAGGGUGUUUUCGAUUUGAAUAAUAAGUGCAAACAUUUUGCACUCAGUUUGCAUUGAGAGCUAAAGUAUAAUAUUUGAUUUAAUCAAAACUCAAUGGGUAGUGUUUCAUAAUCGAUUUGGCGUACUGACCACGGUUAUUUCACGGUUACUCAGUACUGUAGUUAUUUACUCGAGAGAUAAUCGUGGUAUUAACUAAUCUAGAGCUCACGAGAUGCAUAACCAAUUUUCACGGUGCACUAACAACUAUGAAUUCCAUUUCUUCAUCACGGGCGAAAUAAUUAUUAAUAAUUACUUAUUAAUACUAACUACUAACUAAUUACUAACUACUAGUAAAUAAC
rnacentral:lncRNA from 1 species